rnacentral:lncRNA from 1 species
CUGGGAAGAAGUGUUUUUUGAGUAGCAUUUUGAAGAAGGUCAGAUAAAUAAUUCAGGAGAGAGGAUUCUUAUGGGGAACUUGGAGGAAAGAUUUCCCUGGAGGAGUGAAAUUGGGAAAAGUAUCAAAUAGCUUCAGAUUGUGGAACGGAUGGGAAUGACAUUUUUUCCUCCUUUUUCCCCUAGCCGGCGAUUCACCAUAUCCCUGGUUUCGAGCCGAGUGAGAUCUCCAGCGUCGUGGACGAGCUGUGCGCACCUGCCCUCUUCCUCCAGGGCCUCAUCCAAACGGUACAUGCUCCCUCUGCCCUCCUCCCCUCCUCCUCAUCUUCCUCCUCCUUUUCCUCCUCCCCCUCCCCUGCU